rnacentral:rRNA from 1 species
ACACGUAGGGGCCUGACGUUGUUCGGAAUCAUUGGGCGUAAAGGGCGCGCAGGCGGCCGUCCAAGUCCGGUGUUAAAUGGUCGGGCUCAACCCGAUCAUGCGCUGGAAACUGGGCGGCUGGAGUCCCGGAGGGGAUGCCGGAAUUCCAGGUGGAGGGGUGAAAUCUGUAGAUAUCUGGAAGAACACCGAUGGCGAAGGCAGGCAUCUGGCCGGAGACUGACGCUGAGGCGCGAAGGCGCGGGGAGCGAACAGGUUUAGAUACCCUGGUAGUCCGCGCAGUAAACGAUGCGCACCAGGUGUCGGGCGGCAGCGCCCGGUGCCGGAGCAAACGCGAUGAGUGCGCCGCCUGGGGGGUAUGCCCGCAAGGGUGAAACUUAAAGGAAUGGACGGGG